CACCAAUCCAACCAACCAUUGGCCAUUGCAGAGAAGAGAUUACUUUAAGAAUGGGCUACUCGAAGCGCAUUGCACUGGUACUUGUAGCGGCUGUUGUAGCGCUCCACGUCCAUGUCCCGAUGGCCACAGCAGCGAACUCCAACCUCUUCCGGGACUACAUCGGCGCCAUCUUCAACGGCGUCAAGUUCACCGACGUCCCCAUCAACCCGAGGGUCCGCUUCGACUACAUCCUCGCCUUCGUGAUCGACUACACCACCGCGACGGAGCCGCCCACCCCGACCAACGGCCAGUUCAACAUCUUCUGGCAGGACUCGGUGCUGACGGCGUCCGCGGUGGCCGCCAUCAAGCAGAGCAACCCGAACGUGCGGGUGGCCGUCAGCAUCGGCGGCGCCACCGUGAACGACCGCCCUGUGUUCUUCAACAUCACCUCCGUCGACUCCUGGGUCCAGAACGCCGUCUCCUCCCUGACCACCAUCAUCCAGAAGUACAACCUGGACGGCAUCGACAUCGACUACGAGCAGUUCCAGGCCGACCCGGCCACCUUCGCCGAGUGCAUCGGCCGCCUGGUCACCACGCUCAAGAGCAACGGGGUGAUCAGCUUCGCGUCCAUCGCCCCGUUCGACAACGCCGACGUGCAGCGCCAUUACCAGGCCCUGUGGGCGACCUACGGAAGCGUCAUAGACUACGUCAACUUCCAGUUCUACGCCUACGGCGCCAGCACGACCGAGGCGCAGUACGUCGACUUCUUCAACCAGCAGCUUGUCAACUACCCCGGCGGCAACAUCCUGGCCAGCUUCACCACGGCGCCCACCACCACGUCGGUGCCCAUCAACACGUCGCUCAGCGCUUGCCAGACAUUGCAGUCGCAGGGCAAGCUCUACGGGAUCUUCAUCUGGGCAGCCGACCAUUCCAGGAGCCAAGGCUUCAAGUACGACACACAAGCACAAGCACUGCUCGCCAACGCCCCUGCUGGCUACUAGUAGAUGGCUACCAUACCUUCAAUGCGUUUAAGUUGGAUUUGGAUUUCAUUUUCAGGUGAACAAAUAAUAUUAUUAUGUAUGGAAUAAGGCUGUCAUUGGAAUAUAAUACGGGGCUAUUUCUAUAUUCCUGUGUUCUCUAUAAAAAUUAAACAAUUCUUAUAAGAUUCAUGUGUGUCGGAAUUGAUGGGAGGCAUUGGUGAAG
rnacentral:misc_RNA from 1 species